rnacentral:misc_RNA from 1 species
GAAAUGCGAUAAGUAAUGUGAAUUGCAGAAUUCAGUGAAUCAUCGAAUCUUUGAACGCAUCUUGCGCUCCUUGGUAUUCCUUGGAGCAUGCCUGUUUGAGUAUCAUGAAAUCUUCAAAGUAAAUCUUUUGUUAACUCAAUUGGUUUCUACUUUGGUAUUGGAGGUCUUUGCAGCUUCACACCUGCUCCUCUUUGUUCAUUAGCUGGAUCUCAGUGUUAUGCUUGGUUCCACUCGGCGUGAUAAGUUAUCUAUCGCUGAGGACACUGUAAAAGGUGGCCAAGGUAAAUGCAGAUGAACCGCUUCUAACAGUCCAUUGACUUGGACAAUACUUUUAUGAUCUGAUCUCAAAUCAGGUAGGACUACCCGCUGAACUUAAGC